AUUGAUUUGUCAGCACUUUGCUACCAGCUAUUCUGCGGUCUCUGUAGUUGCACUAUUUAGAAGCUCCACGACAGGCAAGGGAAGCAACAAGACAGGCACUAGGGGAUUUCAAAAGGUAAGAAAUACUGGUACGUGUGACGUAGCAACCGUCAACCAGGAAGCAGUGCCAACAGAUAGAAAAGGAAGACAAAAAGUAAGAAAUAAAAGAGUGCCAAAAGCAGAAGAUGGUAUGCCCUCAGAUGCAAGAGGCUCUAUGCAAGAAAAUGGAUAUAAUCUAUAAUCUGGAAAUCUGUUUGGGCGGCAAUUCAUCUUGCAAUGGGCUACAGAUGAAAGAAGCAGCAUUCUCUGUGAAUAAUUACAUCCACUGUCUACCCUAGUCAUGGCUGAUUAUUUCUGUUCCCCAAAGUCCUGCUUCAGCAUUCCAUGGUGCCAGGAGCGAUGUCAGUCCCGGUUUCAUUCUGCACUUUUCAGUGUCUCCCAAAUGUAGCCUGAAGGGUGACUUUGGAUGACAUUGGCUGGCAUGUUGUUGGGAGAUGCAUACAAACGUAGAUUGUCAAUAAAAUCAAACACAGAGCAUGAAAGUGCACAGUAAAAUAAUAAAAUAUUGAUUGAUUUGUUCGAACUGCAUCAUCGUCUGGCUGAAACCUCCCCUUUGAAAGACAAGACAAGCAAUUCUGCUGGAGCUGUUCUCUGAGUGAAUUGGUGGCACUCAUUUCAGCUGGAAACUUUAUUUUUGUAACUCUUACUUUUAGUAAUUUGCUCUGUGCU